AACGAACGCUGGCGGCGUGCCUAACACAUGCAAGUCGAGCGAGAAAGUUCCUUCGGGAACGAGUACAGCGGCGCACGGGUGAGUAACACGUAGGUAACCUUCCCUCGAGCUCGGAAUAACCCGCCGAAAGGUGGGCUAAUACCGGAUAUGACCACGGCGGCCACGGCCGCUGCGGUGAAAGAUGGCCUCUGUUCACAUGCUAUUACUCGGGGAUGGGCCUGCGCGCCAUUAGCUAGUUGGUGGGGUAAUGGCCCACCAAGGCGAUGAUGGCUAGCUGGUCUGAGAGGAUGACCAGCCACACUGGGACUGACACACGGCCCAGACUCCUACGGGAGGCAGCAGUGGGGAUAUUGCGCAAUGGGCGAAAAGCCUGACGCAGCGACGCCGCGUGGGUGAUGAAGGCCUCGGGUCGUAAAAGCCCUGUCGAGGGGGGAACGAAUCAGCCUCGCCCUAACAUGGCGAGGCCUUGACGGUACCCUAAGAAGCACCGGCUAACUCCGUGCCAGCAGCCGCGGUAAUACGGAGGGUGCAAGCGUUGUUCGGAAUCACUGGGCGUAAAGGGCGUGUAGGCGGUCUGGCAAGUCCGAUGUGAAAUCCCGAGGCUUACCCUCGGAAGUGCAUUGGAUACUGGCGGGCUAGAGUCCCGGAGAGGAGGGUGGAAUUCCUGGUGUAGCGGUGAAAUGCGUAGAUAUCAGGAGGAACACCGGUGGCGAAGGCGGCCCUCUGGACGGUGACUGACGC
rnacentral:rRNA from 1 species